AACGCACAUUGCGCCCGCCAGCAUCCUGGCGGGCAUGCCUGUUCGAGCGUCAUUUCAACCCUCAAGCCCCCGGCUUGGUGUUGGGGCCCUACGGCCGCCGUAGGCCCCGAAAAUCAGUGGCGGGCUCGCCAGGACUCCGAGCGUAGUAGCAUUACACCGCUCGCGGCGUCCCGGCGCGUCUCCGCCAUGGAACCCCCCAGCUUUUAGCAAGGUUGACCUCGGAUCAGGUAGGAAUACCCGCUGAACUUAA
rnacentral:misc_RNA from 1 species